AUCGUGCCGAGCACCACCACUUCCUCUAGAAAUCUUAACAUACCUGUGGCAUGGGACUUCGGGUGAGAGGAUUGUCGAUUUCUACUGCCAGCCGCUGUCACUGCCGUCAUCUCCGGUAAGAUCCCCUCUUUCCUCUUUUCUUCCGAUCCAUGGGUUGCAGCCAUGGUUUAAGGGGCAGUGCUUUUUUUUCCUUUCUUCUUCU
rnacentral:lncRNA from 1 species